rnacentral:tRNA from 1 species
GGAGAGAUGGCAGAGUGGUCGAAUGCGGCGGUCUUGAAAACCGUUGUGCCGAAAGGCACCGGGGGUUCGAAUCCCUCUCUCUCCGCCA